UUAGGUCGACCCGCUGAAUUUAAGCAUAUCACUAAGCGGAGGAAAAGAAACUAACAAGGAUUCCCUCAGUAACGGCGAGUGAACAGGGAAGAGCCCAGCACCGAAGCCUGUGGUCAGUUGGCCAUUAGGCAAUGUGGUGUUCAGGUCGUUCCGCAGAAACACUGCUCCACCCCAAGUCCAUUAAUGGGUACGGUAGUACAGACAUGGCCCACGGAGGGUGAAAGGCCCGUUCGGGUGGAGAUUCGGCAGGCCAGUGUUUCUCUGGGUAGACCUUGGAGUCGGGUUGUUUGUGAAUGCAGCCCAAAGCGGGUGGUAAACUCCAUCCAAGGCUAAAUACAAGCACGAGUCCGAUAGCGAACAAGUACCGUGAGGGAAAGUUGAAAAGUACUUUGAAGAGAGAGUUAACAGUGCGUGAAACCGCUCAGAGGUAAACAGGUGGAGUUGAACUGCAAGCUGCGAGAAUUCAGCUGGUGAGGUUGGUUUGGGCUUGGUCAAAUUGGUUGGACCCCGAGGUACGUCCAUUUACGUGUCCCCUUCCUUUGGUUGGGGAUGUGCGAUACACUUGUCAAGUGUUGCGCGCCUCGGGUGUUCGUCGAUCCUCCUUGCCAGUGCACUUUCUCGUAGUGGUCACCACGACCGGCGUUUCUGUCAGGCUGUCAUAGUUAAACCGAUCUUGUGAUGCCCCUGUGGCACUGCCUGGUCGGGAUGGCAGGUAGCUCGUUAGCUUGCUUUCGAGUGUAAUCAGCUGACCAUGAUGGUUCUGUGCAGUGCGUCGGAGGCGGCGGCUAGUGGUGUGUGCAUGCGUGCCUGAUUUAGCUGGCGUAUCCCGGUUUGGUUUCUGUGUUGCCUGUGUUAGCAGGCCUAGUUAUGGCUGGGGUUCGUUCAGUGAAUGGUUGCGUGUGUGACACUUCCAAUGGCCAAUAGUCUGUGGUGUAGUGGUAGACUAUCCACCUGACCCGUCUUGAAACACGGACCAAGGAGAGUAACAUGUGCGCGAGUCAUUGGGCGUAACGAAACCCACAGGCGCAGUGAAAGUAAAGGUCUGACUUGUUCAGACUGAGGUGAGAUCCUGUCGUUUCCCACGCGUGGCAUC
rnacentral:rRNA from 1 species